GAUGAAGAACGCAGUGAAAUGCGAUAAGUAGUGUGAAUUGCAGAAUUCAGUGAAUCAUCGAAUCUUUGAACGCACAUUGCGCCCCUUGGUAUUCCAUGGGGCAUGCCUGUUCGAGCGUCAUUUGUACCUUCAAGCUCUGCUUGGUGUUGGGUGAUUGUCUAUCUUUAUAGACUCGCCUUAAAGUCAUUGGCAGCCGGCAUAUUGGCCUGGGAGCGCAGCACAAGUCGCGCUUCUUGUCAUGAAUGUUGGCGUCCAGUAAGUCUACAUAUUUUGCUCUUGCCCUCGGAUCAGGUAGGGAUACCCGCUGAACUUAAGCAUAUCAAUAAGCGGAGGA
rnacentral:misc_RNA from 1 species